UACGGAGGAUCCGAGCGUUAUCCGGAUUUAUUGGGUUUAAAGGGUGCGCAGGCGGGAGAUUAAGUCGGCGGUGAAAUUUUGCAGCUCAACUGUAAAAGUGCCUUCGAAACUGGUUUCCUUGAGUGUAGAUGAAGUAGGCGGAAUUUGUGGUGUAGCGGUGAAAUGCAUAGAUAUCACGAGGAACUCCGAUUGCGCAGGCAGCUUACUAAACUACUACUGACGCUCAGGCACGAAGGCGUGGGGAUCAGACAGGAUUAGAUACCCU
rnacentral:rRNA from 1 species